UACGUAGGGGGCAAGCGUUAUCCGGAUUCACUGGGUGUAAAGGGAGCGUAGACGGCCAUGCAAGCCUGGAGUGAAAGCCCGGGGCCCUACCCCGGGACUGCUCUGGGAACUGUGUGGCUGGAGUGCGGGAGGGGCAGGCGGAAUUCCUGGUGUAGCGGUGAAAUGCGUAGAUAUCAGGAGGAACACCGGCGGCGAAGGCGGCCUGCUGGACCGCGACUGACGUUGAGGCUCGAAAGCGUGGGGAGCAAACAGG
rnacentral:rRNA from 1 species